CACAUGCAAGUCGAGCGGCAGCACAGAGACAGCUUGCUCUCUGGGUGGCGAGUGGGGGACGGGUGAGGAAUGCAUCGGAAUCGACUCUUUCGUGGGGGAUAACGUAGGGAAACUUACGCUAAUACCGCAUACGACCUACGGGUGAGGGCCGGGGACGUUCGGGCCUGGCGCGAAUGAAUGAGCCGAUGCCCGAUUAGCGAGUUGGCGGGGUAAGAGCCCACCAAGGCCACUAUCGGUAGCUGGUCUGAGAGGACUGAUCAGCCACACUGGAACUGAGACCCGGUCCAGACUCCUACGGGAGGCAGCAUUUGGGGAAAUAUUGGACAAUCCGGGGCCAGCCCGAUCCAGCCCUAGCCGAGUAGUUGAUGAAAGUCUUUGGGGCAUCUUAUAGUCAUUUUUAUUGGGAAGAAAAAGCAGCCUCCUACUUACCUGUUGGUUUUGACGGUACCCAAAGACUAACGCACCGGCUAACUUCGUGCCAGCAGCGCGCCGGUAAUACGAAGGGUGCAAGCGUUACUUCGGAAUUACUGGGCGUAAAGCGUGCGUAGGUGGUUGUUUCAAGUCUCGUUGUGAAAACCCCUGGGCUCCUACCUGGGAAAUUCGAUGGAAAAUGGGCGACUAGAGUGUGGGAGAGGAUAGUGUGAAUUCCUGGUGUAGCCAGUGAAAUGUGUAGAGAUCUGGAAGGAACAUCCGUGGGGAAGGGGACUCUUUGGGCCAACACUGACACUGAGGCAUGAAAGCGUGGGGAGCAAACAGGAUUAGAUACCCCGGUAGUCCACGCCCUAAACGAUGCGAAAUGGAUGUUGGGUGCAAUUUGGCAUGCAGUAUCGAAGCUAAAGCGUUAAGUUUGCCGCCUGGGGGAGUACGGUCGCAAGAGUGAAAAUUAAAGGAAUUGGACGGGGGCCCGCACAAGCGGUGGAGUAUGUUGGUUUAAUUUGAUGGAAAGGGAAAAACCUUACCUGGCCUUGACAUGCACGGGAGCAUUUCCAAAAAUGGAUUGGUGCCUUUGGGAACCGUGGACACAGGUGGUGCAUGGCUGUUGUUAGCUUGUAGUUGUGAGAUGUUGGGUUAAGUCCCGCAAAGAGGGCAACCCUUGUCCUUAGUUGCCAGCAGCGUGAUGCAUCCGACCUUUAGACGAGACCGCCGGUGACAAACCGGAUGCAAGGUAGGGGAUGAAGUCGAAGUCGUAUACAUGGCCCUUACGGCCACGGUGCUACACACGUAGUACAAUGGUGGGGACAGAGGGGUGCAAGCCGGCGACGGUAAGCCAAUCCCAGAAACCCCAUUUCAGUCCGGAUUGGAGUUUGCAACUUGACUCCAUGAAGUUGGAAUCGCUAGUAAUCGCAGAUCAGCAUUGUUGCGGUGAAUACGUUCCCGGGCCUUGUACACACCGCCCGUCACACCAUGGGAGUUUGUUGCACCAGAAGCAGGUAGUUUAACCUUCGGGAGGGCGCUGAC
rnacentral:rRNA from 1 species